UACGGAGGGUGCAAGCGUUAUCCGGAUUCACUGGGUUUAAAGGGUGCGUAGGAGGGCAGGUAAGUCAGUGGUGAAAUCCCCGAGCUUAACUUGGGAACUGCCGUUGAUACUAUCUGUCUUGAAUAUUGUGGAGGUGAGCGGAAUAUGUCAUGUAGCGGUGAAAUGCUUAGAUAUGGCAUAGAACACCAAUUGCGAAGGCAGCUCGCUACACAUAUAUUGACUCUGAGGCACGAAAGCGUGGGGAUCAAACAGG
rnacentral:rRNA from 1 species